GACGAACGCUGGCGGCGUGCCUAAUACAUGCAAGUCGAGCGAAGUUUUUCUGGUGCUUGCACUAGAAAAACUUAGCGGCGAACGUGUGAGUAACACGUAAAGAACCUGCCUCAUAGACUGGGACAACUAUUGGAAACGAUAGCUAAUACCGGAUAACAGUGUUUCUCGCAUGAGAGAUAUUUAAAAGUUGGUUAUGCUAACACUAUGAGAUGUCUUUGCGGUGCAUUAGCUAGUUGGUGGGGUAAAGGCCCACCAAGGCGACGAUGCAUAGCCGACCUGAGAGGGUGAUCGGCCACACUGGGACUGAGACACGGCCCAGACUCCUACGGGAGGCAGCAGUAGGGAAUCUUCCGCAAUGGGCGAAAGCCUGACGGAGCAACGCCGCGUGAGUGAAGAAGGACUUCGGUUCGUAAAGCUCUGUUGUUAGGGAAGAAUGGAUAUGUAGUAACUAGACAUGUAAGAGACGGUACCUAACCAGAAAGCCACGGCUAACUACGUG
rnacentral:rRNA from 1 species